rnacentral:lncRNA from 1 species
CAUGGACUGGCCAUUGUUGAAGUUGAAAUAGUAGAUAUCACCAGUGACAUCCAGGGCUUCCACUGGGGUGGUAACGGAGCCACAAUGCCUUCCCUGGCCAGCCACAUCAGCUCAGGCUCCUUCUCUGGCUCAAUGCCGAUGUCUCUCGCAAAAUCCCAGACUUCUUGCUCACUGGGAACAUAUGUCUCAUCAUAAUCUUCUUCCAGUAUGAUCUGGUCACCAAUGCGUACAACACCUCCUUCCAUGGCUCCCUGCAUCCUUCACUCGGCCCCAACGGACUCUCAUCGGGCCGCGCCGCCCCGCGCC